rnacentral:rRNA from 1 species
AUUGGACGCUGGCGGCAGGCCUAACACAUGCAAGUCGAGCGCGAAAGCACUUCGGUGUGAGUAGAGCGGCGGACGGGUGAGUAACGCGUAGGAAUCUACCUGGUAGUGGGGGACAACUCGGGGAAACUCGAGCUAAUACCGCAUACGCCCUACGGGGGAAAGCGGGGGACCUUCGGGCCUCGCGCUAUCAGAUGAGCCUGCGUUGGAUUAGCUAGUUGGUGGGGUAAUGGCCUACCAAGGCGACGAUCCAUAGCUGGUCUGAGAGGAUGAUCAGCCACACCGGGACUGAGACACGGCCCGGACUCCUACGGGAGGCAGCAGUGGGGAAUAUUGCGCAAUGGGCGAAAGCCUGACGCAGCCAUGCCGCGUGUGUGAAGAAGGCCUUCGGGUUGUAAAGCACUUUCAAUUGGGAGGAAAGGUUCACGGCUAAUACCCGUGAGCUGUGACGUUACCUUUAGAAGAAGCACCGGCUAACUCCGUGCCAGCAGCCGCGGUAAUACGGAGGGUGCGAGCGUUAAUCGGAAUUACUGGGCGUAAAGCGCGCGUAGGUGGUCUGUUAAGUCGGAUGUGAAAGCCCCGGGCUCAACCUGGGAACUGCACCCGAUACUGGCAGACUAGAGUGCGGGAGAGGGAGGUAGAAUUCCACGUGUAGCAGUGAAAUGCGUAGAUAUGUGGAGGAAUACCAAUGGCGAAGGCAGCCCCCUGGGAUAACACUGACGCUCAUGCACGAAAGCGUGGGGAGCAAACAGGAUUAGAUACCCUGGUAGUCCACGCCCUAAACGAUGUCUACUAGUUGUUGGUGGAGUAAAAUCCAUGAGUAACGCAGCUAACGCGUGAAGUAGACCGCCUGGGGAGUACGGUCGCAAGAUUA